ACAAGGCGGACUGCCGCGUCGUCGACACCU
rnacentral:sRNA from 1 species